rnacentral:rRNA from 1 species
UAAUACGUAGGGGGCAAGCGUUGUCCGGAUUUAUUGGGCGUAAAGAGCUCGUAGGCGGUUUGGUAAGUCUGGUGUGAAAUCUCCACGCUCAACGUGGAGGGGCCACCCGAUACUGCCAUGACUGGAGUCCGGUAGAGGAGUGUGGAAUUCCCGGUGUAGCGGUGAAAUGCGCAGAUAUCGGGAGGAACACCCGUAGCGAAGGCGGCACUCUGGGCCGGUACUGACGCUGAGGAGCGAAAGCGUGGGGAGCAAACAGGAUUAGAUACCCUGGUAGUCCACGCCGUAAACGUUGGGCACUAGGUGUGGGGCUCUAUCGACGGGUUCCGUGCCGAAGCUAACGCAUUAAGUGCCCCGCCUGGGGAGUACGGCCGCAAGGCUA